CCUACGGGCGGCAGCAGUGGGGAAUAUUGGACAAUGGGGGCAACCCUGAUCCAGCCAUGCCGCGUGUGUGAAGAAGGCCCUCGGGUUGUAAAGCACUUUCAGUGAGGAAGAACGCCUGGUGGUUAAUACCCAUCAGGAAAGACAUCACUCACAGAAGAAGCACCGGCUAACUCCGUGCCAGCAGCCGCGGUAAUACGGAGGGUGCGAGCGUUAAUCGGAAUUACUGGGCGUAAAGCGCGCGUAGGUGGCUUGAUAAGCCGGUUGUGAAAGCCCCGGGCUCAACCUGGGAACGGCAUCCGGAACUGUCAAGCUAGAGUGCAGGAGAGGAAGGUAGAAUUCCCGGUGUAGCGGUGAAAUGCGUAGAGAUCGGGAGGAAUGCCAGUGGCGAAGGCGGCCUUCUGGACUGACACUGACACUGAGGUGCGAAAGCGUGGGUAGCAAACAGGAUUAGAUACCCCGGUAGUC
rnacentral:rRNA from 1 species